CAACAUUCAUUUUAGGUGCAUCUGCCGAAAAGAAGACAAUCGGAAAAUUAAACGCCACUAUAGAAGCAUUGGAGGAGAAAAAUCGGAAAGAAAUAUCAGAAAAAUCAGCGGAAAUCGAAAGGUUGAAUGCUAUUAUCACAACUCAUGAGAAA